CCUUGACAUUGGAAUGGGGAGAUAGCGAUGGUGGAAAUAGUGAGUUGCUGUUGGAUAAUCUACACCCUCACCCGAAAUUGAAAUACUUGGAUGUUCAGUGCUAUGGAGGUUUGAGGUUUUCAAAUUGUCGAUAUUACUUUAUAUAAAUGUCCAAAAUGUGAGCAUCUGCCGCCGUUGGACAAUCUGCCUCAUUUGGAAUCUCUCUGUCUUAUUCAGUUUGAUUCUCUGGAGUACAUAUCAGAUGAAGAUAAUUUAUUCUCUGCUUUAUCUGCAUCAACAACAACAUUCUUUCCAUCCCUAAAGUUUCUUAACAUUGACUUUUGCCGUAAUCUGAAAGGGUGGUGGAGAACAUGUAUGGAAGCUAAGAUGGUGCCUCAAUUUCCUUGUCUUUCUCGCUUAAUCAUCUCAAAUUGCCCUAACUUGACUUUAAUGCCAACAUUUCCAUCUCUGGACACGGAGCUUUCUCUUUCCUAUGUCAGCAUAAGACCAUUGCAGCGGACAUUGCAGAUGGCUGCAAUGGCUUCUGCGUUACCAUCAGCCUCUUCUUCAGUUACUGCUCCUUUUUCCAAAUUAAAGACUUUGUGGUUAGAGGGUAUUGAGAAUCUAGCAUCUCUACCUGGUGAGUGGAUGCAGAACCUCAGCUUCCUUGAGGGACUAUUUGUUGGGCACAGUAUGGAAAUUAGUGAUGAGGAUGAACGUGGGAUAUUUAAAUGGAGAUGUCUUGUUAGUCUACGACGUCUCACUCUUUCUAAUCUAUCAAAUCUGGUGUCUCUACCAAGGGAGCUUCAAUAUGUUACUACAUUGCAGAGUCUCUCUAUCUGGAGUUGUUCUAAUUUGAGAGCUUUGCCUGAUUGGAUAGGCAACCUCACAGCACUUGAAAAUCUAAAUAUCGAUGACUGCCCUGAAUUGGAAUCGCUAUCAAGAGGAAUGCGUCAAAUCACCACUUUACAACAAUUGAGUAUUAGAGGUUGCCCCCGUUUGUCUGAAAGAUGCGGACACGAUACUGCUGCAGAUUGGCCCAAUAUUUCUCACAUUCCAAAUGUCCAGAUAGAUGAACGUGAUAUUCAAGAGGAGGGCCGAUAUCUAUUGUAAGAAGAAGGAUGCUCUGCUUUCAUGGAUAAUAGAUGCAAAUGUGAUUUGGACAGCCACAGAUGAUUUCUGGAUGUUGUAAUUGACUCAUUCGCAGCUCCAGGACUUUUGAAGCAAGCAGGUCUCC